UUGCGUGGUGGCAUGGAAAGGCGUGAUGCCUGCGGCCUUCAGCGCCUCAGCGGCUGCGUUCAACUCUUCCCAGGUGGU
rnacentral:tRNA from 1 species